UAGUGACGAAAAAUAACGAUACGGGACUCAUCCGAGGCCCCGUAAUCGGAAUGAGUACACUUUAAAACUUUUCCCGAGGAUCAAUUGGAGGGUAAGUCUGGUGCCAGCAGCCGCGGUAAUUCCAGCUCCAAUAGCGUAUAUUAAAGUUGUUGCGGUUAAAAAGCUCGUAGUCGAAUCUGUGUCCCGCGCCGCUGGUUCAUCGCUCGCGGUGUUCAACUGGCGUGUCUCGCGGGACGUCCUGCCGGUGGGCGCUCGUAUCGCUUCGGUGGUGCGUGGCCCAACUCGUAGCCGUCUCGCGCGGUUGCGAAUCCCAUCGCGGUGCUCUUUAUUGAGUGUCGAGGUGGGCCGGCACGUUUACUUUGAACAAAUUAGAGUGCUUAAAGCAGGCCAAUUUUGCCUGAAUAUUGUGUGCAUGGAAUAAUGGAAUAGGACCUCGGUUCUAUUUUGUUGGUUUUCGGAACCCCGAGGUAAUGAUUAAUAGGAACGGAUGGGGGCAUUCGUAUUGCGACGUUAGAGGUGAAAUUCUUGGAUCGUCGCAAGACGGACAGAAGCGAAAGCAUUUGCCAAAAACGCUUUCAUUGAUCAAGAACGAAAGUUAGAGGUUCGAAGGCGAUCAGAUACCGCCCUAGUUCUAACCAUAAACGAUGCCAGCUAGCGAUCCGCCGACGUUCCUCCGAUGACUCGGCGGGCAGCUUCCGGGAAACCAAAGCUUUUGGGUUCCGGGGGAAGUAUGGUUGCAAAGCUGAAACUUAAAGGAAUUGACGGAAGGGCACCACCAGGAGUGGAGCCUGCGGCUUAAUUUGACUCAACACGGGACACCUCACCAGGCCCGGACACCGGAAGGAUUGACAGAUUGAGAGCUCUUUCUUGAUUCGGUGG
rnacentral:rRNA from 1 species